GACGAACGCUGGCGGCGUGCUUAACACAUGCAAGUCGAACGGAAAGGCCCUGCUUUUGUGGGGUGCUCGAGUGGCGAACGGGUGAGUAACACGUGAGUAACCUGCCCUUGACUUUGGGAUAACUUCAGGAAACUGGGGCUAAUACCGGAUAGGAGCUCCUGCUGCAUGGUGGGGGUUGGAAAGUUUCGGCGGUUGGGGAUGGACUCGCGGCUUAUCAGCUUGUUGGUGGGGUAGUGGCUUACCAAGGCUUUGACGGGUAGCCGGCCUGAGAGGGUGACCGGCCACAUUGGGACUGAGAUACGGCCCAGACUCCUACGGGAGGCAGCAGUGGGGAAUAUUGCACAAUGGGCGGAAGCCUGAUGCAGCAACGCCGCGUGCGGGUUGACGGCCUUCGGGUUGUAAACCGCUUCCGCCUGUGACGAAGCGUGAGUGACGGUAAUGGGUAAAGAAGCACCGGCUAACUACGUG
rnacentral:rRNA from 1 species